UACAUUUUAUUAUAUGAGGUAUAAGAAUUUUUGGUAUUCUUGGAAAUAGUUUAAUUCUAUUAAAUGUAA
rnacentral:tRNA from 1 species